rnacentral:misc_RNA from 1 species
AACACUGUUAACCUGCGGUACCUGCGGAAGGAUCAUUAAUGAAUAUGUUCACUUUUGUGAACUUUCUUAUCCCAAACACUUGUGCAAAUUUAUUUUUUCACGCGAUGUUGGUUUUGAAUGUAUAUUUUUUUUAAAAUAUAAAAAACAACUUUUAACAAUGGAUCU